GCACCGGUAGUGUAUGGCACACCCACCUAUUUUCUGAGAGCAAAGAAGUUGUUCAACGGUGAGACGGGGUUCGAUUCCCCGCUGGUGCA